GAGGGUAAAGAUCAGUGGUAGAGCACGUGCUUAGCAUGCAUGAGGUCCUGGGUUCAGUCCCCAGCACCUCCA
rfam:Camelus ferus unplaced genomic scaffold scaffold692, whole genome shotgun sequence.